UGGGGAAUAUUGCACAAUGGGCGCAAGCCUGAUGCAGCCAUGCCGCGUGUGUGAAGAAGGCCUUCGGGUUGUAAAGCACUCUCAGCGGGGAGGAAGGCGAUAAGGUUAAUAACCUUGUCGAUUGACGUUACCCGCAGAAGAAGCACCGGCUAACUCCGUGCCAGCAGCCGCGGUAAUACGGAGGGUGCAAGCGUUAAUCGGAAUUACUGGGCGUAAAGCGCACGCAGGCGGUCUGUCAAGUCGGAUGUGAAAUCCCCGGGCUCAACCUGGGAACUGCAUUCGAAACUGGCAGGCUAGAGUCUUGUAGAGGGGGGUAGAAUUCCAGGUGUAGCGGUGAAAUGCGUAGAGAUCUGGAGGAAUACCGGUGGCGAAGGCGGCCCCCUGGACAAAGACUGACGCUCAGGUGCGAAAGCGUGGGGAGCAAACAGG
rnacentral:rRNA from 1 species